GGGCCCGCACAAGCAGUGGAGCAUGUGGUUUAAUUCGAUGCAACGCGAAGAACCUUACCAACCCUUGACAUCCAGUGGAAGUUUUAGAGAUAAAACUGUGCCUUUUGGGAACACUGUGACAGGUGUUGCAUGGCUGUCGUCAGCUCGUGUCGUGAGAUGUAUGGUUAAGUCCAGUAACGAGCGCAACCCUUAUCCUUAUUUGCCAGCACUUCGGGUGGGAACUAUAGGGAGACUGCCGUGAAUAACACGGAGGAAGGUGGGACGACGUCAAGUCAUCAUGGCCCUUACGGGUUGGGCUACACACGUGCUACAAUGGGAGAUACAGAUGGUUGCGAAAGCGCGAGCUGGAGC
rnacentral:rRNA from 1 species